rnacentral:rRNA from 1 species
GAUGAACGCUGGCGGCGUGCUUAACACAUGCAAGUCGAACGAAGCAAAUCUGAUUGCUUGCAAGAAGAUCUGACUGAGUGGCGGACGGGUGAGUAACGCGUGGAUAACCUGCCUUAUACUGGGGGACAACAGUUAGAAAUGACUGCUAAUACCGCAUAAGCGCACAGUGCCGCAUGGCACGGUGUGAAAAACUCCGGUGGUAUAAGAUGGAUCCGCGUCUGAUUAGCUAGUUGGUGAGGUAAUGGCUCACCAAGGCGACGAUCAGUAGCCGGCCUGAGAGGGUGAACGGCCACAUUGGGACGGAGACACGGCCCAGACUCCUACGGGAGGCAGCAGUGGGGAAUAUUGCACAAUGGGCGAAAGCCUGAUGCAGCGACGCCGCGUGAGCGAAGAAGUAUUUCGGUAUGUAAAGCUCUAUCAGCAAGGAAGAUAAUGACGGUACUUGACUAAGAAGCCCCGGCUAACUACGUGCCAGCCGCCGCCGUAA